ACGAACGCUGGCGGCGUGCCUAAUACAUGCAAGUCGAGCGAAGUUUUUCUGGUGCUUGCACCGGAAAAACUUAGCGGCGAACGGGUGAGUAACACGUAAAGAACCUGCCUCAUAGACUGGGACAACUAUUGGAAACGAUAGCUAAUACCGGAUAAUAGCAUUAACUGCAUGGUUGAUGUUUAAAAGUUGGUUUUGCUAACACUAUGAGAUGGCUUUGCGGUGCAUUAGCUAGUUGGUGGGGUAAAGGCCUACCAAGGCGACGAUGCAUAGCCGACCUGAGAGGGUGAUCGGCCACACUGGGACUGAGACACGGCCCAGACUCCUACGGGAGGCAGCAGUAGGGAAUCUUCCGCAAUGGGCGAAGGCCUGACGGAGCAACGCCGCGUGAGUGAAGAAGGAUUUCGGUUCGUAAAGCUCUGUUGUUAGGGAAGAAUGAUUGUGUAGUAACUAUACACAGUAGAGACGGUACCUAACCAGAAAGCCACGGCUAACUACGUG
rnacentral:rRNA from 1 species